AUGAUGGCGAAGAGGUCACACCCGUUCCCAUCCCGAACACGGAAGUUAAGCUCUUCAGCGCCGAUGGUAGUCGGGGGCUUCCCCCUGCAAGAGUAGGACGUUGCCGGGC
rnacentral:rRNA from 2 species